GUCGUAUUAACUAGCAUGCGACGCAAGACAGCUAUGUGCGUCGUAUGGGCCAAAAAUGCGACGCACAAAACAGAAGCUAUGCGCGUCGCAUGAAGCCCACGUGCGACGCAGAUGGCCCAAGAUUUUUAAAACUCGCUCCCAUCCACUAUUUUCCCCAAACCUUUACCUACCCUUUCACUAUUUUCACAGUCGUUUCCACUCUCCUCUCUCUCACACAGAUAGAAUUCUCUUCAAAUCCCCCCAAGUUCGCACAAAAAAACUCCAAUUCACCACUACCAAUUACAUCAAAAUUUCUCAAAUCAUCUCCUUACAAAAUUUCCCUCAAUUUCUCAAGUUCGCACACAAAACUUCAAUUCACUUGCUUCGAAUUUGUACAAAUCGCCAUUUUCGCAUGAAGGUCGUCUGCUUCUUUGGAGAAAUCAAGAGAGAGGAUGUUUAAAUAUAGUUGCUUGAAGGUUGCCAUUUUUGCAUGAAGGAGGAAGAACGAAAAGUUCGAACAAAAUGACGGAUAAUUUGGCGAUUUAGAUCUGAAAUUUUUGGAGAUUUAUUUUGCAUGUCCCUUGGUGUUUUUCGUUUUAUGUAUGUAAUGAGAUCUGAUUUUAUUAUUUUGUUUUUCAAUUUUUAAUUUUAUAGAGAUUAUGGCUUAACUAUUU